rnacentral:lncRNA from 1 species
ACAGAUACCCCACUCACAAUCUCCUCAGAGCAGUCCAAGUCAUCCAUAAUCCGUUCUGUGGCCUCCAACCAAUAUUCUACCACAUUCGGGGCUAUACCAGACAUGCCCUUAAAGAUCUCUGUUCCGUUAGUCCCGAAGUCAUUCAGAAAUAGAUCCCUGAAUUUUAUUGCCCGAACUUGCUCCGGCAACCCUUUCCAGAACACGAAGCAUUACCUGUGAUAGGGCAUCAUCCUCGGCACCGCGGUCAUGAGACUCUACCUCUGUUGCC